rnacentral:rRNA from 2 species
UACAACUUUCAACAACGGAUCUCUUGGCUCUCGCAUCGAUGAAGAACGCAGCGAAAUGCGAUAAGUAAUGUGAAUUGCAGAUUUUCAGUGAAUCAUCGAAUCUUUGAACGCACCUUGC